rnacentral:tRNA from 1 species
GAGGCUGUGGCUCAGCCGUAGAGCACUUUCCUACCAUGUGUGAGGCACUGGGUUCGAUUCUCAGCACCACA